rnacentral:rRNA from 1 species
ACCUGGGAGUACGACGCAAGGGUUGAAACUCAAAGGAAUUGACGGGGGCCCGCACAAGCGGAGGAACAUGUGGUUUAAUUCGAUGAUACGCGAGGAACCUUUACCCGGGCUCGAACUGCAGGCGAACGAUACAGAGAUGUUGAGGCCCUUCGGGGCGCCUGUGGAGGUGCUGCAUGGUUGUCGUCAGCUCGUGCCGUGAGGUGUCGGCUUAAGUGCCAUAACGAGCGCAACCCUUUUCAUUAGUUGCCAUCAGGUCAUGCUGGGCACUCUGGUGAUACUGCCACCGUAAGGUGUGAGGAAGGUGGGGAUGACGUCAAAUCAGCACGGCCCUUACGUCCGGGGCUACACACGUGUUACAAUGGGAGGUACAGAGAGUCGGUCGUAUGCAAAUACGAUCUAAUCCUUAAAGCCUUCCUCAGUUCGGAUUGGGGUCUGCAACCCGACCCCAUGAAGCUGGAUUCGCUAGUAAUCGCGCAUCAGCCAUGGCGCGGUGAAUACGUUCCCGGGCCUUGUACACACCGCCCGUCAAGCCAUGAAAGCCGGGGGCGCUUGAAGUCCGUGACCGCAAGGAUCGGCCUAGAGCGAAACUGGUAAUUGGGGCUAAGUCGUAACAAGGUAACCGUA